rfam:Arabis alpina cultivar Pajares Aa.chr8_contig_1249, whole genome shotgun sequence.
GUCCUCCGGAGACAUCCGAUAAAAUUAAAACAAUACAUAAAAUAUUAGCAUGGCCUUGCGUAAAGAUGACAUACAUAAAUCGAAAAAUAAUCCAAAUUUUG